rnacentral:rRNA from 1 species
GAUGAACGCUAGCGGCAGGCUUAACACAUGCAAGUCGAGGGGUAUAGUUCUUCGGAACUAGAGACCGGCGCACGGGUGCGUAACGCGUAUGCAAUCUACCUUUUACAGAGGGAUAGCCCAGAGAAAUUUGGAUUAAUACCUCAUAGUAUGUGAGAAUCGCAUGGUUUUCACAUUAAAGUUCCAACGGUAAAAGAUGAGCAUGCGUCCCAUUAGCUAGAUGGUAAGGUAACGGCUUACCAUGGCGACGAUGGGUAGGGGUCCUGAGAGGGAGAUCCCCCACACUGGUACUGAGACACGGACCAGACUCCUACGGGAGGCAGCAGUGAGGAAUAUUGGACAAUGGGCGCAAGCCUGAUCCAGCCAUGCCGCGUGCAGGAUGACGGUCCUAUGGAUUGUAAACUGCUUUUGUACAGGAAGAAACACUCCCUCGUGAGGGAGCUUGACGGUACUGUAAGAAUAAGGAUCGGCUAACUCCGUGCCAGCAGCCG